rnacentral:miRNA from 1 species
CUUGAAUGAUGUGAUGAGAACAUCAUUUUUAUCAGGCUGGAGAGAUGGCUGAGCCGUUAAAGGCUAGGCUCACAACCAAAAAUAUA